rnacentral:rRNA from 1 species
UGGGGAAUAUUGGACAAUGGGCGCAAGCCUGAUCCAGCCAUGCCGCGUGGGUGAAGAAGGCCUUCGGGUUGUAAAGCCCUUUUGUUGGGAAAGAAAUCCUGUCGGCUAAUACCCGGCGGGGAUGACGGUACCCAAAGAAUAAGCACCGGCUAACUUCGUGCCAGCAGCCGCGGUAAUACGAAGGGUGCAAGCGUUACUCGGAAUUACUGGGCGUAAAGCGUACGUAGGCGGAUGCGCAAGUUGGGGGUGAAAUCCCGGGGCUUAACCUCGGAAUUGCCCUCAAAACUGCACGUAUUGAGACCGAGAGAGUUAAGGGGAAGUCCUAGUGUAGAGGUGAAAUUCGUAGAUAUUAGGAAGAACACCAGUGGCGAAGGCGCCUUACUGGCUCGGUACUGAC